CGUUGAAACACUGGUUUUCGUACGAUCACCGAAGUUAAGCAACAUUGAACCAGGUCAGUAUCUAGAUGGGUAACCGCUUGGAAAUACCAGGUGCUGUAA
rnacentral:rRNA from 1 species